rnacentral:rRNA from 1 species
AUUGAACGCUGGCGGCGUGCUUAACACAUGCAAGUCGAUCGGUAACAGGUGUAGCAAUACAUGCUGACGAGAGGCGGACGGGUGAGUAAUGCUUGGGAAUCUGCCUAUUAGUGGGGGACAACCCGGGGAAACUCGGGCUAAUACCGCAUACGCUCUACGGAGGAAAGCCGGGGACCGCAAGGCCUGGCGCUAAUAGAUGAGCCCAAGUCGGAUUAGCUAGUUGGUAGGGUAACGGCCUACCAAGGCGACAAUCCGUAGCUGGUCUGAGAGGACGACCAGCCACACCAGAACUGAGACACGGUCCGGACUCCUACGGGAGGCAGCAGUAGGGGAAUAUUGCGCAAUGGACGAAAGUCUGACGCAGCGACGCCGCGUGUGGGAUGAAGC